ensembl:lncRNA
CCGACACUAUAUCAGCCUGCCAGAUCUCCAACUAAAGCAGUGCUUUGAUACUAAAGUAAAAGUAACUAAACUAAUUGCCAAAUGUUGUGUACUGACAGGAUCAUCGAGUGUGCGCGCAGUCAGUGUUCUCAGACGAAUCCUUGCAAUAGGAGGAUGCUUCCCAGCCGCAGCAGAAUAUUUCUCACGCAGAUUGACCCCUUCACUCAUCAGCCCGUGUCUCUCAACUGCCCUGAAGAGAAUGAUGAGACCAUGAGCAACGACUUCCUGCCCAGAGUCCUCGUGGAACCAGAUAGCAUGCUCAAGUCCAAAGCCGACCCCAACAAGAUGGACGACGAUCAGACGCCCCGCAGCCACGCACACCCUGCGGUCUACAAACACCCACCACAGCUACCCAGGGGCGUGCCGGGCAGAUUCCCACAGACACCCUUCCCCAGCCAGGCUGCGGCCGACACGAGUGCCCUAGACCAGUA